rnacentral:rRNA from 1 species
AGUGAACGCUGGCGGUAGGCCUAACACAUGCAAGUCGAACGGCAGCACAGUAAGAGCUUGCUCUUACGGGUGGCGAGUGGCGGACGGGUGAGGAAUACAUCGGAAUCUACUUUUUCGUGGGGGAUAACGUAGGGAAACUUACGCUAAUACCGCAUACGACCUACGGGUGAAAGCAGGGGAUCUUCGGACCUUGCGCGAUUGAAUGAGCCGAUGUCGGAUUAGCUAGUUGGCGGGGUAAAGGCCCACCAAGGCGACGAUCCGUAGCUGGUCUGAGAGGAUGAUCAGCCACACUGGAACUGAGACACGGUCCAGACUCCUACGGGAGGCAGCAGUGGGGAAUAUUGGACAAUGGGCGCAAGCCUGAUCCAGCCAUACCGCGUGGGUGAAGAAGGCCUUCGGGUUGGAAAGCCCUUUUGUUGGGAAAGAAAAGCAGCAGGUUAAUACCCCGCGGUUCUGACGGUACCCAAAGAAUAAGCACCGGCUAACUUCGUG